UAGGUGGAUUAGUAAGUCAGAGGUGAAAGACCUGCAGCUCAACUGUAGAACUGCCUUUGAUACUGCUAGUCUUGAGUCAUUAUGAAGUGGUUAGAAUGUGUAGUGUAGCGGUGAAAUGCAUAGAUAUUACACAGAAUACCGAUUGCGAAGGCAGAUCACUAAUAAUGUACUGACACUGAUGGACGAAAGCGUGGGGAGCGAACAGGAUUAGAUACCCCUGGUAG
rnacentral:rRNA from 1 species